rfam:Helianthus annuus unplaced genomic scaffold HanXRQChr00c1008, whole genome shotgun sequence.
CUACUGGUUGAUCUGCCAGUGUCAUUGCUUGUUCAAGAUUAGCCAUGCAUGUGUAAGUAUGAACAAAUUCAGAUGUGAAACUGCGAAUGGUAUUAUCAGUUAUAGUUUGUUUGUGGUAUCUUGCUACUCGGAUACGUGUAAUUCUAGGCUAAUACGUGCAACAAACCCGACUUCUGGAAGGGAUGCAUUUAUUAGAUAAAAGGUCGCGGGGCUUUGCCCGUUGCUGCGAUGAUUCUGUAAUCGACGGAUCGCACGGCCUUGUGCGGCGAGCAUAUUAAUUUCUGCCCUAUCACUUUCGAUGGUGGAUAGUGGCUCUAUGGUGGUGACGGGUGAGGAGAAUUAGGUUGAUUCCGGAGAGGGAGCUGAGAAACGGUACCAUCCAAGGAGGCAGAGGCGCGCAAUUACCCAAUCUGCACGGGGAGUAGUGAAUAAAUAACAAUACGGGCUCAUACGGUCUGGUAAUUGGAAUGAGUACAAUCUAAUCUUAACGAGGUCAUUGGAGGGCAAGUCUUGGUGCCAGCCGCGGUAUUCCAGCUCCAAUAGCGUAUAUUUAGUUGUUGCGUUAAAGUCGUAGUUGGACUUUGGGUUGGGUCGGCGGUCGCAUCAGGUGUGCACCGGUUUACUCGUCCCUUUGUCGGCGAUGCGUCUACCUUAACUGGGGGGGUCGUGCUCCGGCGUUGUUAUUUGAAGAAUUAGAGUGCUCAGCAGCUACGCUUGUAUAUUUAGCAUGGGAAAUCAUGGAUUUCCGGUCUAUUCGUUGGCUUCGGGAUCGGAGUAAUGAUUACAGGGACAGUCGGGGGCUUCGUAUUUCAUGUCAGAGGUGAAUUCUUGGAUUAUGAAGACGAACAAUGCGAAAGAUUUGCCAAGGAUGUUUUCAUUAUCAAGAAGAAGUUGGGGCUGAAGCGAUCAGAUACCGUCCUAGUCUCACCAUACGAUGCGACAGGGAUCAGCGGAUGUUGUUUUAGGAUCGCUGGCCUUAUGAGAAUCAAGUUUUUGGGUUCGGGGGGAGUAUGGUCGCAAGGCUGAACUUAAGGAUUGCGGAGGGACAGGAGUGGAGCUGCGGCUUAUUUGACUCAACGGGGAAUUACAGGUCAGCAUGUAGGAUUGAAGACUGGAGUCUUUCUUGAUUUAUGGGUGGUGGUGCAUGGCGUUCUUAGUUGGUGGAGCGAUUUGUCUGGUUAUUCCGUUAACGAACGAGACUAGCUGCUAAUAGCUUGUGGAGUAUCCUCCAUGGCAGCUUCUUAGGGACUAUGGCUUUUAGGCCCGGAGUUUGAGGCAAUAAGGUCUGUGAUGCCUUAGAUGUUCUGGGCGCACGGCGCUACACUGAUGUAUUCACGAGUAUAUAGCCUUGGCCGACAGGCCCGGGAAUCUUUGAAUUUCAUCGUGAUGGGGAUAGAUAUUGCAUUGUUGGUCUUAACGGGAAUUCUGUAGCGGUUCUCUCGCGUUGAUACGUCCUGCCUUUGUACCACGGCCCGUCGUCCUACGAUUGAAUGGUCCGGUGAAGUGUUAGGAUGUGGCGAGUGGGCGGUUCGCUGCCCGCGACGUCGCGAGAUUCACUGAACCUUAUCAUUUAGAGGAAGGGAAGUCGUACAAGGUUUCGUAGGUGAACUGCGGAGGAUCAUUG